AGGACGAACGCUGGCGGCGUGCCUAACACAUGCAAGUCGAACGAGGUCCAUCCAGUGGCAACACUGGUGAAGACCUAGUGGCGAACGGGUGAGUAACACGUGAGGAACCUGCCCCGAAGACCGGGAUAACUCUCCGAAAGGAGUGCUAAUACCGGAUGUCCCCACCAGAUCGCAUGGUCAGGUGAGGAAAUGGAUUCCGCUUCGGGAGGGCCUCGCGGCCUAUCAGCUUGUUGGUGGGGUAACGGCCCACCAAGGCAUCGACGGGUAGCUGGUCUGAGAGGACGAUCAGCCACACUGGGACUGAGACACGGCCCAGACUCCUACGGGAGGCAGCAGUGGGGAAUCUUGCGCAAUGGGCGAAAGCCUGACGCAGCAACGCCGCGUGGGGGAUGAAGGCUCUCGGGUUGUAAACCCCUUUCAGUAGGGACGAAUUCAGACGGUACCUACAGAAGAAGCCCCGGCCAACUACGUGCCAGCAGCCGC
rnacentral:rRNA from 1 species